rnacentral:rRNA from 1 species
UUAGUAACGGCGAGUGAAGCGGCAAAAGCUCAAAUUUGAAAUCUGGCACCUUCGGUGUCCGAGUUGUAAUUUGAAGAAGGUAACUUUGGAGUUGGCUCUUGUCUAUGUUCCUUGGAACAGGACGUCACAGAGGGUGAGAAUCCCGUGCGAUGAGAUGCCCAAUUCUAUGUAAAGUGCUUUCGAAGAGUCGAGUUGUUUGGGAAUGCAGCUCUAAGUGGGUGGUAAAUUCCAUCUAAAGCUAAAUAUUGGCGAGAGACCGAUAGCGAACAAGUACAGUGAUGGAAAGAUGAAAAGAACUUUGAAAAGAGAGUGAAAAAGUACGUGAAAUUGUUGAAAGGGAAGGGCUUGAGAUCAGACUUGGUAUUUUGCGAUCCUUUCCUUCUUGGUUGGGUUCCUCGCAGCUUACUGGGCCAGCAUCGGUUUGGAUGGUAGGAUAAUGACUAAGGAAUGUGGCUCUACUUCGGUGGAGUGUUAUAGCCUUGGUUGAUACUGCCUGUCUAGACCGAGGACUGCGUCUU